GUGUCAGCAGCCGCGGUAAUACAGAGGGUGCAAGCGUUAAUCGGAAUUACUGGGCGUAAAGCGUGCGUAGGUGGUUUACUAAGUCAGGUGUGAAAUCCCCGGGCUCAACCUGGGAACUGCGCUUGAUACUGGUAAACUAGAGUUUAGUAGAGGGAAGUGGAAUUCCGCAUGUAGCGGUGAAAUGCGUAGAUAUGCGGAGGAACACCAGUGGCGAAGGCGGCUUCCUGGACUAAAACUGACACUGAGGCACGAAAGCGUGGGUAGCAAACAGGAUUAGAAACCCCAGUAGUCC
rnacentral:rRNA from 1 species